UGUGAAAUAGCUCAGUGGGGAGGGUGUUAGACUGAAAAUCAAAGGUCCUUGCUUUGUUUCCAGAUUUCACAG
rnacentral:tRNA from 1 species